AUGUGGCUCCAGUGGUAGCACGCUCGCCUGGCAUGCGCGGGGCGCUAGGUUCGAUCCUCAGCACCACAUA
rnacentral:tRNA from 1 species